ACUGAUAUAGCAUAAGAAGUGCAUUUGUUUUAAGCGCAAAAGAUAUUUUUCAGUA
rnacentral:tRNA from 1 species